GUUCUGGUACACUUGCUUUGUUGCCCAGAGCUCCACCAGCAAAGACAGAUUAAGCCCUACAAACCUGACCUUUCAAAGAACAAAACACUACAACUCCUGGAAUGCCAAGCACAGACAGGAAAGGCCAAGGGAACCUUGGUACCUCGGUCAGCUUGGCUACAAACAAUUUGGUGCUGAGGACUUAAUUUCAUAGGUUUCAAGUUCUCACCCUGCAGAUUUGGAAACCACAUUAUCUACUGUGACAAAGGGAUGUAUUUCAAAAUCAUAUAAAAAGAGUUUCACAAACACACAUCCUACAUGGGCUGUCCAGAAUUGCUACACAAAUCUUCUCUUCCAGCUGUAUAUAUUUCAAGUUAUUGGUAAAAGAUCCCCAUUAGGAACUUCAUAGGUAAAACUGAGCUCUAUCAACUUGUCUGUGAAAUAUGGCACUCUCUUGGUGGUCACUGAAGCCCCAUUCGUAACCAUGACAUCACUGUUCCCAUAGAACAACUAUAUUUUCAAAGAGGGAGAAACUA